CAGAGCCAUUUCCACAGAGUGCUGAGCGCGGAAACCAGACUAAAGUGGAUUGAGCAGAGAAUUGGACUCGAGAAAGUCUGUCAGUCUCACAUACACAAGUCUUUAAAGGAUCUUGGACGCAAAAGGCAGUAGCGAGAUAGGGUGUUAGUUGGACAGGGAGUUAGGGUCAAGGUUGGGCUUUUUUAGAACUGAGGUUACAUGUGCAUGUUUGAAAGGUAAUGGAAAUAUGCCAGAGGAGAGG